rnacentral:lncRNA from 1 species
AUUUGAAUGCCGCAUGCUACAUGGCACAUGCGUGUUAUCAUGGAGACUCUAUUCAUGACGUCGAGCGAAUUUUAAGAGAAAUAUAAUCAGCUCGACACGAAGUUCAAGGAGAGCGAGAAGGCUCUCGAUAAACUGAAGAAUGUGAGGGCCAGAAUGGAGAACCUCCGUGACAAUAUUCUGCCGAAGAAGGACAAGACCAUCGAGUCCAAGCAGAAGGAAAUAGAUGAAUAUGUCACGACAAUCUUGGCGCUUCGCAAAGAUUUGAAGAAUGCUAGUUCUGGUCGUGCUGAAGA